UCAGCUCCCUUUGCCACCAGGCUUAGAUCAAGUGUAGUAUCUGUUCUUCCAAGUUUGACCGCUUUGGACUCGACUACGUAUCGAUAUCUCAACGUUCACUCAUUUUUCGAAACUCGCGAGGCAUCACCUGGGACUUGUCUUUAGGGUGUGCUGAACAUUGUGUCCUUGGCCUUGCACUGCUGCCUUGAGAUGCGAAUUAUCU
rnacentral:snRNA from 1 species